rnacentral:pre_miRNA from 1 species
UGGACAGAUUAUUGUAUUCGACUGCACUCGACUGUAUUCACGGUGUGAAACAGGGGAUUACACUGUUUUUAAACAGAAAGUGAAUCAAUUAACAUAAUAGACUCCU